UACGUAGGGGUCCGAGCGUUGUCCGGAGUUACUGGGCGUAAAGCGCGCGCAGGCGGCGGUGCUGGCCCGGCGUGAAAGCCCCCCGGCUCAACCGGGGGAGGGUCGUCGGGGACCGCACCGCUUGAGGGCGGUAGGGGCUGGUGGAAUGCCUGGUGUAGUGGUGAAAUGCGUAGAGAUCAGGCGGAACACCCGUGGCGAAGGCGGCCAGCUGGGCCGUCCCUGACGCUGAGGCGCGAAGGCGUGGGGAGCGAACGGGG
rnacentral:rRNA from 1 species